AUACGGAGGGUGCAAGCGUUAUUCGGAUUUAUUGGGUUUAAAGGGUGCGUAGGCGGAUCGGUCAGUCAGUGGUGAAAUCCCAUAGCUUAACUAUGGAACUGCCAUUGAUACUGCCAAUCUCGAGUAUAGUUGAAGUGGAUGGAAUGUAACAUGUAGCGGUGAAAUGCAUAGAUAUGUUACAGAACACCGAUUGCGAAGGCAGUUCACUAAACUAUUACUGACGCUGAGGCACGAAAGCGUGGGGAGCGAACAGGAUUAGAAACCCUAGUAGUCC
rnacentral:rRNA from 1 species